GUGCCAGCCGCCGCGGUAAUACGAAGGGGGCGAGCGUUAUUCGGAAUCACUGGGCGUAAAGCGUGCGUAGGCUGUUCUACAAGUCAGGAGUGAAAGCCCAAGGCUUAACCUUGGAAGCGCUCUUGAAACUGUAGGACUCGAGUUCGGGAGAGGAUAGCGGAAUUCUCAGUGUAGCAGUGAAAUGCGUAGAUAUUGAGAGGAACACCAGUGGCGCAAGCGGCUAUCUGGACCGACACUGACGCUGAGGCACGAAAGCGUGGGGAUCAAACAGGAUUAGAAACCCCUGUAGUCC
rnacentral:rRNA from 1 species